UCUUGGUUCAGGACGAACGCUGGCGGCGUGCCUAAUACAUGCAAGUCGAACGGUCUUUCUAUGGAAGCUUGCUUCCACUGAGAAGAUAGUGGCGAACGGGUGAGUAACACGUGGGUAACCUGCCCAUAAGAGGGGGAUAACAUCCGGAAACGGGUGCUAAUACCGCAUAGUUUUCUUGAUUGCAUGAUUGAGAAAGGAAAGACGGCCUUUGUGCUGUCGCUUAUGGAUGGACCCGCGGCGUAUUAGUUAGUUGGUGAGGUAACGGCUCACCAAGACGAUGAUACGUAGCCGACCUGAGAGGGUGAUCGGCCACAUUGGGACUGAGACACGGCCCAAACUCCUACGGGAGGCAGCAGUAGGGAAUCUUCCGCAAUGGACGAAAGUCUGACGGAGCAACGCCGCGUGAGUGAAAGAAGGUUUUCGGAUCGUAAAACUCUGUUGUCAGAGAAGAACAAGUUGGAGAGUAACUGCUCCAGCCUUGACGGUAUCUGACCAGAAAGCCACGGCUAACUACGUGCCAGCCGCCGC
rnacentral:rRNA from 1 species